GGAUACUGUAAAUUUCAGAAGAGCUGCAUAUUCCAUCAUCCGACAGACCAUCUUUCAAACAAAUAGGACCGUUUCACCACUACCACUUCUGUAGCUGACUCAGGUGGGGGAUAUGACUGGCUGUGGCUGAUGAGUGGAGGAAGUUCUGAUGAUGGAACAGAAAAUGAUUGUAGGGAGCUUCAACCCUAGUCUUCUGUGAAGAGAUUGAUUAUUCUACCACGUUUGGGUCGAAUUUCUGCCCCCUAUCUGUCGUUAGAGUUCUCGUACCAGAUGUGAACUGCCUGGUGGCUCCCAACUCCCAGUCGCUCAUAUGCCAUAUAACGUUGCUGCGACCUCCCUGUGUUGUUAACUUGAGGUUGCGAACCACAUACUUAGCAUGCAGCUCUAGAUGCCUGCACUGACCGACCGAAGAUUGUGAUCAUGGCAAGAUUAAAAUAUCAGACCAUCUUUUGUAACGUGCGAUCUCCAUCGUUUUAUUUGUCGUUUGGAUCUUCAA